rnacentral:rRNA from 1 species
GGACUUAUAAUACUAGUCAGAUGGAAAUCUAGUACUAGAAAGAAUAUAAGUCUUUCCUUCUGGGUAAAUUAUUAAAAUUUUAAUAAUUGAACCAGGACGAUUACUUUGAAAAAAUUAGAGUGUUCAAAGCAGGCGGGAAGCAUGAAUAUAUUAGCAUGGAAUAAUAGAAUAGGACGUUUGGACCUAUUUUGUUGGUUUCUAGGACCAUCGUAAUGAUUAAUAGGGACGGUCGGGGGCAUCAGUAUUCAAUUGUCAGAGGUGAAAUUCUUAGAUUUAUUGAAGACUAACUACUGCGAAAGCAUUUGCCAAGGACGUUUUCAUUAAUCAAGAACGAAAGUUAGGGGAUCGAAGA